AUGAUUAAUAGGGACAGUCGGGGGCAUCAGUAUUCAGUUGUCAGAGGUGAAAUUCUUGGAUCUACUGAAGACUAACUACUGCGAAAGCAUUUGCCAAGGAUGUUUUCAUUGAUAAGGAACGAAAGUUAGGGGAUCGAAGACGAUCAGAUACCGUCGUAGUCUUAACUAUAAACUAUGCCGACUAGGGAUCGGACGAUGUUAUUAUUUGACGCGUUCGGCACCUUUCGAGAAAUCAAAGUGCUUGGGCUCCAGGGGGAGUAUGGUCGCAAGGCUGAAACUUAAAGAAAUUGACGGAAGGGCACCACCAGGGGUGGAACCUGCGGCUUAAUUUGACUCAACACGGGGAAACUCACCAGGUCCAGACACAGUGAGGAUUGACAGAUUGAGAGCUCUUUCUUGAUUCUGUGGGUGGUGGUGCAUGGCCGUUCUUAGUUGGUGGAGUGAUUUGUCUGCUUAAUUGCGAUAACGAACGAGACCUUAACCUGCUAAAUAGCCCGUACUGCUCUGGCAGUUCGCCGGCUUCUUAGAGGGACUAUCGGCUCAAGCCGAUGGAAGUUUGAGGCAAUAACAGGUCUGUGAUGCCCUUAGAUGUCCUGGGCCGCACGCGCGUUACACUGACAGAGCCAGCGAGUACCUCCUUGGCCGGAA
rnacentral:rRNA from 1 species